rnacentral:rRNA from 1 species
UAGCGUUGUUCGGAAUUACUGGGCGUAAAGGGCGCGUAGGCGGUUCGGUAAGUUAGGCGUGAAAGGCCGGGGCUCAACCCCGGAGCUGCUUUCGAGACUGCGGACCUGGAGACCAGUAGGGGUUGGUGGAAUUCCCGGUGUAGCGGUGGAAUGCGUAGAUAUCGGGAAGAACACCCGUGGCGAAGGCGGCCAACUGGGCUGGAUCUGACGCUGAGGCGCGAAAGCGUGGGGAGCAAACA